UGGGGAGUAGCCAAGUGGUAAGGCACCGGAUUUUGAUUCCGGCAUUCGUAGGUUCGAUCCCUACCUCCCCAGCCA
rnacentral:tRNA from 2 species